UACGAAGGGGGCUAGCGUUGCUCGGAUUGACUGGGCGUAAAGGGCGCGUAGGCGGUUCGUACAGUCAGACGUGAAAUUCCUGGGCUCAACCUGGGGGCUGCGUUUGAUACGUGCGGACUUGAGUGCGGAAGAGGGUCGUGGAAUUCCCAGUGUAGAGGUGAAAUUCGUAGAUAUUGGGAAGAACACCGGUGGCGAAGGCGGUGACCUGGUCCGAUACUGACGCUGAGGCGCGAAAGCGUGGGGAGCAAACAGG
rnacentral:rRNA from 1 species